rnacentral:misc_RNA from 1 species
GAUGAAGAACGUAGCGAAAUGCGAUAAGUAAUGUGAAUUGCAGAAUUCAGUGAAUCAUCGAUUCUUUGAACGCACAUUGCGCCCAUUAGUAUUCUAGUGGGCAUGCCUGUUCGAGCGUCAUUAAGUCCACUUAAGCCCUGCUUAGUGUUGGGAGACUGCUCCAGCGGUGCUACCCUGUAGCUACCCUGCAGCUCCUCAAAGACAGCGGCGGAGUUGUGGUAUCCUCUGAGCUUAGUAACUUGUUCUAGCUUUCGAGUACACCACUUCCCCUGCCGUAAAACCCUUAAUUUUUAAUGGUUGACCUCGGAUCAGGUAGGAAUACCCGCUGAACUUAAGCAUAUCAAUAAGCGGAGGA